rnacentral:rRNA from 1 species
UACGUAGGAUGCAAGCGUUGUCCGGAAUUAUUGGGCGUAAAGAGCGAGCAGGCGGUCUGGAAAGUUGGACGUGAAAUUUUAGGGCUUAACCCUAAAGGGUCGUCCAAAACUCCCAGACUAGAGUGCAGGAGAGGAAAGCGGAAUUCCCGGUGUAGUGGUGAAAUGCGUAGAUAUCGGGAGGAACACCAGUGGCGAAGGCGACUUCCUGGCCUGUUCUUGACGCUGAGGCGCGAAAGCUAGGGGAGCAAACGGG